rnacentral:lncRNA from 1 species
GACUGCAUCAAAUGACCAACGGUCUGAGUAUGAGGCACAUCAGGGGCAGAACAAGAGAAGAGAAAGUACGGUGAUGUGGCUGCCCAGCAGGAGGAGAAAAGCAAAAAUUACUUGAGAUCUCUCCCCGAAGUCAAAAGUAAUGGGACAGGCAGACCCUCCUGAAAUUCUGAGCAGAAAUUGCUGCUACAUUUGAAUCAGAUUCUAAGAAGAUCAUCAACAUUAGAAUGUGCACAUCGUAAUUCAAAUCUCUGAAGAGGAAGAAGGAAGAUAUUGACUUCAGUCUUCAUUUAGUCCUGUUAUGGGACUUCCAGACACUGAAAAAACUCAUCCCUACAGCCGGCUGGAGGAUAUUGUCCUGGAAGGGGCAGCUUUCACCUAUGGUUUGAAUUCAAUUAGCCAGCUCCUCUGAGAGCCACUAGAGUACCAUUUAGGACAUUGCUUCUUGAAUUCUCAUUUGCAGCCUUGCAAAUAACUUUCAAAGGUCAUUAGACCAUAAGGAGUUUUCAUUACCUCCAGGUGCAUCCAAAAAGGGAUGCAGUACAAAAAGUUAAAAUGACUAGAAGCAGCAACACAUGGAAGGUAAAAAUCUUUCUAAUAAGAGCAAUGGAAGAAACAUUUCUACAAAUGUUAAGUUGUAAGUCAAAUGUUUUU